rnacentral:rRNA from 1 species
AGUGAACGCUGGCGGUAGGCCUAACACAUGCAAGUCGAACGGCAGCACAGGAGAGCUUGCUCUCUGGGUGGCGGGUGGCGGACGGGUGAGGAAUACAUCGGAAUCUACUUUUUCGUGGGGGAUAACGUAGGGAAACUUACGCUAAUACCGCAUACGACCUACGGGUGAAAGCAGGGGACCUUCGGGCCUUGCCCGAUUGAAUGAGCCGAUGUCGGAUUAGCUAGUUGGCGGGGUAAAGGCCCACCAAGGCGACGAUCCGUAGCUGGUCUGAGAGGAUGAUCAGCCACACUGGAACUUAGACACGGUCCAGACUCCUACGGGAGGCAGCAGUGGGGAAUAUUGGACAAUGGGCGCAAGCCUGAUCCAGCCAUACCGCGUGGGUGAAGAAGGCCUUCGGGUUGUAAAGCCCUUUUGUUGGGAAAGAAAUCCAGCUGGCUAAUACCCGGUUGGGAUGACGGUACCCAAAGAAUAAGCACCGGCUAACUUCGUGCCAGCCGCCGCAGUAA